UUCCAGUUCUGGCAUUCUAUGUACAAUGCUUCACACUGGCCACUAACAGUUUGAUCACAGAGAACACACCAUAAGAAGACCUGCUUUGCCUCUUUUCAGAUUCACUCUUUUCUGGAUUUCAUCAUCACCUCCAGAAACUCAUCUUCCUGCAAAAUGUAAUCAACUCUGAAACUCACAUCUCCUCAGUGCUUCCAGCCCCUGGGGCCACUUCCUCUGGUUGGGUCAACAAACAACAACAGUGGAAGGGAGCAAAAUUCAUCUUUGGCCCAAGAUCACAAGAGCUGAGGAAAGCAGAAUUUGAACCUUUUUUUUUCUCCUAUUAAAAAAAAUAGGAAGU